UUUUGUGACAUCAACUUGCCGGUAGCUACACCAUGUUCUUGAAAUUCCACACCAACCACUCCUGAUUUUUAAAAAGAACAAUCAUUGGGCUCAUAAGAGAUGGAUGAGCAAUGUGAAGUUGAAGAAAACAACAGAGCCAUAUGGCUAGACUACCAUCUGUGCAAGUCCAAAGGUUAUGGGGACUGCAAGAACUUCAGGAUCUGAUUGCCGCGUCAAUAACAGGAAAAAGUGUAUGCUGUGUACUAAGAAGAGAUGGAGCGUAGCCAAGUGGAACUCUGAGUUCAUGCUUUUGAAGAUCUUGAGAGAGAUAUCAAGGGUGCCCUGAUGUUCAACCUAGCUGUCUCAAACUUGUAGCAAAUGGCUGAAUCAGUGAUUCUUUUAGCUGUGGCAAAGAUUGGUGCUGCUCUGGGGAAUGAAGCAAUCAACCAGGCUAGUUCACAAUUCAAAAAGUUCAUUACGCAGCUAACAGAGCUUCAAGGCAGCAUGGGUCGCAUAAGAAGAGAACUGAGGCUAAUACAUGAAUUUCUUUGCUGAAUGGAUGUAAGGAAUCGCAAGAAUCCAACAUAUGAAAUCUGGGUGGAGGAGGUGAGAAUGCUUGCAUAUGGGAUUGAGGAUAUUGCGGAUGAGUAUUUGCAUAUUGUCGGUCAGAAACAUCAUGGUGGAUGGAGAAUCUUUCUUAAAAAGGAUUCAAGCAUCCAAAUGUCUUGCUUUCUUUAAAUAGGAUAGCUUCAUUGGUUAAGGAAGCAGAGAUCAAUCUUGUGCAUCUGUUCCAAGCCAAGGAUCGGUGGGUUCCGAUAGUAGGUGGUGAGAAUACCAAUGACUCAAGUUACAUUGUUGAGAGGUCUCAACAUCUGGCAAGAAUUUCACGUUCCCUUGGUGAAGAAGAUCUUGUGGGGGUUGAUGAAAAUAAAAAAACACUUCUGAACUUGUUGCAAAGUGAUGAUUUGGAAAGCUCUGUGAUAGUACUGCACGGGAUGGGAGGGCUUGGUAAGACAGCUUUGGCUGCAAAUGUGUACCGGAAGGACAGAGAAAAGUUUGACUGCCAUGCUUGGAUCUCCAUCUCUCAAACUUAUUCUAGAGAAGAUAUUUUGAGGAAUUUAAUCAAGCAACUAUUCGAAGAUAAAACCAGUGUUCUAUCCAACAUAGCCAACAUGGACAUAACAGAGCUCGAAGAGACACUGAGGAAUUUUCUGGAACAAAAGAAGUAUUUUAUCAUAUUGGAUAAUAUCUGGACUCUCGAAUCAUUCAAUGAUUUUUCUGGGGCACUUAUCUGUCGGGGAAACUGACCCACGGACACCUAUGGGGACCGAGCCCCUUUCGGUUCGGCGGGGGGGCGGAGGUCGCACGAAGAGCAGAUCGAGGCGAAGCACACGAGCAGUUU